GAUGAAGAACGUAGCGAAAUGCGAUAAGUAAUGCGAAUUGCAGAAUUCAGUGAGUCAUCGAAUCUUUGAACGCACAUUGCGCCCUGUGGUAUUCCGCAGGGCAUGCCUGUCCGAGCGUCAUUUGCAACCCUCAAGCCCGGCUUGUGUGAUGGGUGCCGUCCCCUACGGGACGCGCCCCGAAGGCAAUGGCGGCGUCGCGGUUAUCCGAUCAGCCAAAGUGUAUGGGGCUUUGUCACUCACUUUACGGCCCGGACCGGCGCCAGUCCGAAUCAAUCUUUUUUCUAAAGUUGACCUCGGAUCAGGUAGGGAUACCCGCUGAACUUAAGCAUAUCAAUAAGCGGAGGA
rnacentral:misc_RNA from 1 species